UACGUAGGAGGCAAGCGUUAUCCGGAAUGACUGGGCGUAAAGGGUGCGUAGGUGGUUUGAUAAGUUGGUAGCGUAAUUCCGAGGCUCAACCUCGGCGCUACUACCAAAACUGUCGGACUUGAGUGCAGAAGAGGAGAGUGGAACUCCAUGUGUAGCGGUGGAAUGCGUAGAUAUAUGGAAGAACACCAGUGGCGAAGGCGGCUCUCUGGUCUGCAACUGACGCUGAGGCUCGAAAGCAUGGGUAGCGAACAGG
rnacentral:rRNA from 1 species